CGGAGGAUCCAAGCGUUAUCCGGAAUCAUUAGGUUUAAAGGGUCCGUAGGCGGUUUUGUAAGUCAGUGGUGAAAGCCCAUCGCUCAACGGUGGAACGGCCAUUGAUACUGCAAGACUUGAAUUACUAGGAAGUAACUAGAAUAUGUAGUGUAGCGGUGAAAUGCUUAGAUAUUACAUGGAAUACCAAUUGCGAAGGCAGGUUACUACUAGUGGAUUGACGCUGAUGGACGAAAGCGUGGGGAGCGAACAGGAUUAGAUACCCUGGUAGUCCACGCCGUAAACGAUGGAUACUAGCUGUUCGGAGCAAUCUGAGUGGCUAAGCGAAAGUGAUAAGUAUCCCACCUGGGGAGUACGUUCGCAAGAAUG
rnacentral:rRNA from 1 species